rnacentral:lncRNA from 1 species
AUACCCACCUUUUCUUUCUACCUACCUCUAGCAAAUCCCGGUGGGAUUUCUGGAUACUUAAAUCUGCCUGACUUGGAUUCCCAAGGAUGUUGAGAUGAAAUGGGACAGAAGCCAAGAGAACUAAAGAAUGCAAUCAGGGACGCGGGGAGGCAAAGCCAGCUCUUCAAUGGCCAAAGAAACUGCUCUUCCUACCACCAGAAGCCAAUAUUAAGAAGUUAUAAACCUGAAGGGAAGCAGCAGCACCUGUUAUGGUUUAGAACUACAAUGUUUCCCUAAAGCCUCACGUGUUUAGAAGUGGAGCUUUUAGAAGCCACAAGGUAGACCAGCACUCUGAUGAUUAAUCUUGAUUAACUUAACUGGACUAAGAGAUGCCCUCCCAGGCCAGAAAAACACAUUUCUGUGUGUCUGUCGGAUGUUUCUAGAGACUAUUGACAAGUAGGCCUGCAAACUGAGAGAGAAAUCUUCAUUGUGAUUGACACCAUUCAAUAGGCUUGCAACCUGGAUAGAAUGAAAAAGGAGGAAGGAGGAAGUCACCCUGUAUUUGAUUGACUGAUUGAUUGAUUGGUUUUAUACUUUAAAGGGAAAAUAAGAAAUACAAAAUAACAAAAACAAAACAACACGAGACAAAAAAAAUAAAAAUGAUACAGCCUGCAUUUGUUUGAGUACAUGUAUCUUUUGCUGAUGCCAUCCCUUUAGAU